rnacentral:rRNA from 1 species
UUCCAGACUCCUACGGGAGGCAGCAGUGGGGAAUAUUGCACAAUGGGGGAAACCCUGAUGCAGCGACGCCGCGUGGGUGAAGGAGCGUUUCGGCGCGUAAAGCCCUAUCGGCAGGGAAGAAGGAGGACGGUACCUGACUAAGAAGCCCCGGCUAACUACGUGCCAGCAGCCGCGGUAAUACGUAGGGGGCAAGCGUUAUCCGGAUUUACUGGGUGUAAAGGGGGCGCAGACGGCAGCGCAAGCCAGGAGUGAAAGCCCGGGGCCCAACCCCGGGACUGCUCUUGGAACUGCGCGGCUGGAGUGCAGGAGGGGCAGGCGGAAUUCCUGGUGUAGCGGUGAAAUGCGUAGAUAUUAGGAGGAACACCAGUGGCGAAGGCGGCUUGCUGGACUGUAAAUGACGCUGAGGCUCGAAAGCGUGGGGAGCAAACAGGAUUAGAUACCCUGGUAU